CCUACGGGCGGCAGCAGUGAGGAAUAUUGGUCAAUGGCCGAGAGGCUGAACCAGCCAAGUCGCGUGAGGGAUGACGGCCCUACGGGUUGUAAACCUCUUUUGUCGGGGAGCAAAGAGCGGGACGCGUCCCGCCUCGAGAGUACCCGGAGAAAAAGCAUCGGCUAACUCCGUGCCAGCAGCCGCGGUAAUACGGAGGAUGCGAGCGUUAUCCGGAUUUAUUGGGUUUAAAGGGUGCGUAGGCGGAGGGGUAAGUCAGCGGUGAAAUUGAGGGGCUCAACCCCUUCACGCCAUCUAAACUGGUUGGACGAGAGAAGAGUUGCGGGAGGCGGAAGGUAUGGUGGAGCGGUGAAAUGAGGAGAGAUCAUACAGAACACCGAGUGCGAAGGCAGAGUACCAAACUAUAUAUGACGUUGAGGCAGGAAGGCGGGGGGAGCAAACAGGAGGAGAGACACUGGGAGUA
rnacentral:rRNA from 1 species